rnacentral:rRNA from 1 species
UACAGAGGGGGCAAGCGUUGUUCGGAAUUACUGGGCGUAAAGGGCGCGUAGGCGGCCUUCUAAGUCGAACGUGAAAUCCCUGGGCUCAACCCAGGAACUGCGUCCGAUACUGGUUGGCUUGAAUCCGGGAGAGGGACGUGGAAUUCCAGGUGUAGCGGUGAAAUGCGUAGAUAUCUGGAGGAACACCGGUGGCGAAGGCGGCAUCCUGGACCGAGAUUGACGCUGAUGCGCGAAAGCCAGGGGAGCAAACGGG